rnacentral:rRNA from 1 species
UACAGAGGAGGCAAGCGUUGUUCGGAAUUACUGGGCGUAAAGGGCGCGUAGGCGGCCUGUUAAGUCGAACGUGAAAUCCCCGGGCUCAACCCGGGAACUGCGUCCGAUACUGGCAGGCUUGAAUCCGGGAGAGGGAUGCGGAAUUCCAGGUGUAGCGGUGAAAUGCGUAGAUAUCUGGAGGAACACCGGUGGCGAAGGCGGCAGCCUGGACCGGCAUUGACGCUGAGGCGCGAAAGCCAGGGGAGCAAACGGG